CAAAAUGGAGCUUAACUAAAGCAUCUCGCUUACACCGAGAACAUGUCCGUGAACUCAGAUCAUUUUGAG
rnacentral:tRNA from 1 species